UACGGGGGGAGCAAGCGUUGUUCGGAUUUACUGGGCGUAAAGGGCGCGUAGGCGGUAGCACAAGUCAGUUGUGAAAUCCCGGGGCUCAACCCCGGAACUGCACUUGAUACUGCUUUGCUAGAGUACUGGAGAGGAGAUUGGAAUUUACGGUGUAGCAGUGAAAUGCGUAGAUAUCGUAAGGAAGACCAGUGGCGAAGGCGAAUCUCUGGACAGUUACUGACGCUGAGGCACGAAGGCCAGGGGAGCAAACGGG
rnacentral:rRNA from 1 species